rnacentral:rRNA from 1 species
AACUAACGCUGGCGGCGUGCCUAACACAUGCAAGUCGUACGAGAAAGUUGGCUUCGGCCGAUGAGUAAAGUGGCGCACGGGUGAGUAACGCGUGGAUAAUCUACCCCUCAGUUGGGAAUAACUCAUCGAAAGGUGGGCUAAUACCGAAUAAUACUACAUGACUUCUGUUGUGUAGUCAAAGAUGGCCUCUGCUUGCAAGCUAUCGCUGAAGGAUGAGUCCGCGUACCAUUAGCUAGGUGGUAGGGUAAUGGCCUACCAAGGCAACGAUGGUUAGCUGGUCGGAGAGGAUGAUCAGCCAGACUGGAACUGAGACACGGUCCAGACUCCUAGGGGAGGUAGCAGUGAGGAAUAUUGAGCAAUGGGGGCAACCCUGACGCAGCAACGCCGCGUGAGUGAGGAAGGUUUUUGGACCGUAAAGCUCUGUCGAGCGGGAAGAAAUGCACGAUGGCUAAUAUCCAUCAUGCUUGACGGUACCGCUAAAGGAAGCACCGGCUAACUCCGUGCCAGCAGCCGCCGUAAAAC